GUGCCGAAAUUAUAUACGAUAACAAAAGAUGGACAUACGAAGGUUAACCGAAAACGGGUAUUAAAGCUUCAUAUGUCAGCCGAAGCCUACACGAUGGAUCACGAAGGCUACGCGAUGGAUUACGAAGGCUACACAAUGGAUUACGAUGAUGGCGCGAUGGCCAUACGAUGUCUAAAAGAUACGAACAGAAUUUCGACAACAUAUCGUUUCUGUACAAGUCUGCCAUGCAUGGCGGGAAAUCGAUCUUUUUGUCUAAUUCUUAUAAAACUUAGUUUAUUAUCCCCUCGCCUACUACAUGUAAGUUGCGUGUAUAUAAA
rnacentral:lncRNA from 1 species